rnacentral:rRNA from 1 species
UGGCCAUGCUACCCUGAAUGCGCCAUCUCAUCUGAUCUCAGAAGGUAGGCAGGGUUGAGCCUGGUCAGUACUUGGGCAGGAGAAUCCCUUCUUGUUUAGCCUUCAGUGGAUGGAACAAGGCCCAC